AUUGAACGCUGGCGGCAGGCCUAACACAUGCAAGUCGAGCGAGCGGCGGACGGGUGAGUAAUGUCUGGGAAACUGCCUGAUGGAGGGGGAUAACUACUGGAAACGGUAGCUAAUACCGCAUACCAUCAGAUGUGCCCAGAUGGGAUUAGCUAGUAGGUGGGGUAACGGCUCACCUAGGCGACGAUCCCUAGCUGGUCUGAGAGGAUGACCGGCCACCGUGGAACGGAGCAACGUCCCAGCUUCCUAGGGGGGGCAGCAGGGGGGAAUAUGGAAAAAUGGGGGCAGGCCUGAUGCACCCAUGCGGGGUGUAGGAAGAGGCCCUCCGGGUUGUAAAGUACUUUCAGCGGGGAGGCGUUACCCGCAGAAGAAGCACCGGCUAACUCCGUGCCAGCAGCCGCGGUAUAC
rnacentral:rRNA from 1 species